GAUGAACGCUGGCGGCGUGCCUAAUACAUGCAAGUCGAGCGAACGGACGAGAAGCUUGCUUCUCUGAUGUUAGCGGCGGACGGGUGAGUAACACGUGGAUAACCUACCUAUAAGACUGGGAUAACUUCGGGAAACCGGAGCUAAUACCGGAUAAUAUUUUGAACCGCAUGGUUCAAAAGUAAAAGACGGUCUUGCUGUCACUUAUAGAUGUAUCCGCGCUGCAUUAGCUAGUUGGUAAGGUAACGGCUUACCAAGGCAACGAUGCAUAGCCGACCUGAGAGGGUGAUCGGCCACACUGGAACGGAGACACGGUCCAGACUCCUACGGGAGGCAGCAGUAGGGAAUCUUCCGCAAUGGGCGAAAGCCUGACGGAGCAACGCCGCGUGAGUGGUGAAGGUCUUCGGAUCGUAAAACUCUGUUAUUAGGGAAGAACAUAUGUGUAAGUAACUGUGCACAUCUUGACGGUACCUAAUCAGAAAGCCACGGCUAACUACGUG
rnacentral:rRNA from 1 species